GUUGUGCAUGCACUGGCGACGACUGCAUGGGGCGGAGGCGCCUUCGCUGCUGCUCUCCUCGUCUGAGAGUUUAUAUGCGUCCGUUUUGCGAUUCUUGACUGCUUCAGAAGAGCCAUGGCUACGUAAGAACAUUAUGGCGAAAACUCUUUGAGAACCUCGAACGGGAGAAGACCUCGGCGCCAAAGGGCGCCGGUCCCUUGCUCGCGUACUCUCUGCCUCAGAAAAAAGCGAAAGCUUGACGGAUGGGAGGUUUGCCCGCCCCGCCCCCCCUACCCCCUACGCCGUCACUCUCCAUGAAAGCCAAACCCAGCGGGAAACAAGAGAAAACGGACGGUGAGAAAAACUCCAAGAAGAAAACGGGCAACGCUACUCGCUGUCUCGGCGACAAGCGCAAAACAGACGCCGUGUACCGAGGCAGGAGGAGCCACCCGCGUAUCCACCGGGGCAGGAAGAAGUCAGGCAGACGCGGAAUGGCCUGACAAAAAACGAACAGAAGGGUGUGUGACGUCCACCGGUGAAUGUUCGACAGGAAAGAGACGUCUGAUACCCUUCAGAGGGGACGAGGCGCUUUCACCAAGCCUCCACUCUUCACCAUCAUGUCCAGUCCAUUCAAAGUCUGCCAAAAUCGCCUUAAUCACAACCUCCUGCGUCCAGUCCCCAGUGUAGUGUCGGAGGUGAGCUUUUCUCUCAGACACAGAGGAAGUGGAGUUGCACUUUCUGCAGCCUGAGCAUUCCAGACAACCUCUUCCACGCUGGCGAAAUCCGCACCAGCGACAAAGAUUCCGAGGCUACAGGGAAGAGAUUCAGAGCCGAGGAGAGCCGCUCCAUCCGUCUCUGCCAGAUCCACACAUCUGCAAAGAUGUUACGUUCGUUUUCGAGUGUGGUGAAAUGAGUUUCUUUCUGACGAAGAAGUCGGGAGAAGAGACGAACGGAAGGGGAGCCCUUUGCAAAACUCGAAAAUGGCUCGAAACCGUGGCUUUUGCAGCGUUGGCAGAAGCGCUUUUUCUUACCUGCCCUUUUCUCCAUCUUUUUUGAGUAGAAAGAUGGUUCAGAUCCUAAAAUGGUUCCUUUUCAGUUCGAAGAGAUCAGAGAGCCGAGCGGUAUGUAGGUUCCGGACCGCCUCGCAGCGGCAAGCAUGGAUCUCGAAGAGCCUUGAAUUCUUUUAGCGCUGCCCUUUGGCCUAUGUAAACCUGUAGCUGCCCUAGAAACCGGUACUCGCCAGACAGCUCAAGGAUGCAAGAACUGCUUUCGCUGACUUCUUUCCAACGCUACUUCACAAACAAGAGGGAGUGCCAACGAAGUCAGGCAUCUGUUGAAAGAGAAAACAAGGCGCGAAAGCCGUUGAACGUCUAUCUGAGUGAGAGUGUGAGACGCCAAAUGCAGGGUGACCGAGCCAACGCUGCGUGAGGCGUACUAAACGAAUUGCGUUUUUUCGAUUCGGCACCAAUUUAUUACGACUGUUUUCUCGGCUUGAAUGAACUAAACGUCGGAUUUCAAGUGCGCACUGCUUAC
rnacentral:lncRNA from 1 species